AGUGAAGCGGCAAAAGCUCAAAUUUGAAAUCUAGCACUUUCAGUGUUCGAGUUGUAAUUUGAAGAAGGUAACUUUGGAAUUGGCUCUUGUCUAUGUUCCUUGGAACAGGACGUCACAGAGGGUGAGAAUCCCGUGCGAUGAGAUGUCCAAUUCUAUGUAAAGUGCUUUCGAAGAGUCGAGUUGUUUGGGAAUGCAGCUCUAAGUGGGUGGUAAAUUCCAUCUAAAGCUAAAUAUUGGCGAGAGACCGAUAGCGAACAAGUACAGUGAUGGAAAGAUGAAAAGAACUUUGAAAAGAGAGUGAAAAAGUACGUGAAAUUGUUGAAAGGGAAGGGCUUGAGAUCAGACUUGGUAUUUUGUGUUCCUUAUCCUUCUUGGAUUAGGUUCCUCACAGCUUACCGGGCCAGCAUCGGUUUGGAUGGCAGGAUAAUGACAUUGGAAUGUAGCUUUGCUUCGGUGAAGUGUUAUAGACUUUGUUGAUACUGCCUAUCUAGACCGAGGACUGCGUCUUUGACUAGGAUGCUGGCGUAAUGAUCUUAAGCCGCCCGUCU
rnacentral:rRNA from 1 species